CUCCAGUUGGGCUUCCACGUUCUCACCAGCUAACUUCAUUUCUCCCUUCUCAGCUUUAAUUCCCAAUUUUUUCUCAGCAAUCCCUAGCUCUUUCCCCAAUUCCCCUCUACAAACCCUAAUUCCUCUUCCACGUUCCCAUCAUGUAACUUCAUUUCCCCUUUUUUUUUUAUUUCAAUUCCCAAUUUCUCCUCAGUAAUCCCUAGCUCUUUCCCCACUUCCCCUUCUACAAAACCUAGUUCCUCCUCCUAGGUCGUUACGAUACCCACUUCUACAGUAGAUGCUUGUCCCCAGGGAUCGAAAUUAGGAAAUUGUGAUUUCAGAACCGAAAAGUCUUCCUAGGAUACACUCGGAUUUGUCCAUCAGCAUUCACUUCCGAAGGAUCCUUGGAGGGACCAUAAUACCUUGCUGAGAGUUUAAGGUUCUUUCUCAGAGCAACUGAAGUCUGUCUAUAAGGUUGCAAUUUAAGAUUGACAAGGCAUAUCCUCGUGAUUUCAUGCAAAGAGGGGGAGUGAGGGUUCAAUUGAAAAAGGAGGAUGGGACUUUAAGCAAUCCAGCCAUUCCUUAAGCAAACAGCUGAAGCUCCAAGUUGCGGAGUUGGUACCUAGACAUCCGGGAAGGACUAAGAAGCAGGAAGCUCCAUCGACAUCGAGUACUUCCGGAUCUUCCAAGUCCGGGAAGGGUGGAAGAAAAAAGCGAUAGCUCUGUUACUCCUGAAACAACAGAAGGUCAUGGUUUUCCCUUGGGACAUUUUAAAUUUUGCCGUUGAGCUAAACAUCUGAGUGAGCUUCGGAGUAUAUGUUUACAAACGAAUUUCGUAGAUUCUUGAUAGGUUAAUCAUUGAACCCUUGAACUU